AAGUCGUAACAAGGUUUCCGUAGGUGAACCUGCGGAAGGACCAUUAACACGUAUCCAACGUUAAACAACUCUGUGAACCUUCACCCCCUGCUCUCCUUGGCUCGAGAAAGCAAUCUCUGGUAAAUCACGCAAACAGUUUGAUUCAGAGACCUCUAUCUUGAGUACUUGGAUUUGAUGCGGUCGAAGCAAUUAGACUUGCCUCUGUGGGGUAGUCAGUGGGUGAAAGUGCCACUGGUUACUUAAGCGGAGUACUGCACCCGGACUAACCGGGGUGGGAUCAUCGAGUGUCCUCACGGCCGAUGAACAAGUCUCUGAGCGCAAGCUCCAAUAUUAACCCCGUCUUUAAUCUUUAGGGAGCUGGUCGCUUCGGCGCCGCCCCUGUCGUGAAAGCUGAACAACUGUUAACAAUGGAUAUCUUGGUUCUC
rnacentral:misc_RNA from 1 species